AGUUGGGAUAAUUCACGCGGCCAAUAAAACAAGUGGCAGAGAUGGACAGUGUUACUUAAAUAAACAAGGGUCUCUUUAAAAUUCUCAUCCACUUCAGAUGUCUAAAGUAAGAUUGUGAUGAUUUUGUCACGGUUUGGUAAAUUUACCCCUUUAAGAGGCUUUCAUAAAUCCCAGAACACACCUUCAGCCAGAUUUGAAUAUAGAUUUAGGUUUUAAAACCCAGAAGCUGGGAACACCGCUUUAUCAAAGAGAAUUUCCCUUUAGCUUAGCAAUGUGUCGGAAUGGCUCUUGCAAAGAUUGGAUCUGAGAGGGGAAAAAGGGGGAACCUUCUUUCCUGGAGCAAUCCUGCACACACUUUGCAGCUGCCUCUGCCUUCAGCCUUCUGCAGCUCGGGAAAAGUUGCAAAAAAAAAAUUAAUAAUUGUUGCAGCUCUAGGAACUUGAGGGUUUUUUUUUUUUUAAUGAUUUUUUUUUUUUAAACUUUCCCAAUCUCUUCUGGUCCAUUUGGAAAGCGUUUCAGAGCAGGUACAGUCCCAGAGAGCCAGACUAGCUGGGGCUAACGGGGAGUGAGUGGAGAUGUGUGAUUUUCUGCCCUCUAAGAACUUUGUGCUCAGAGAACCAAAAUCUGCUUCUGGGAUGAAAAGAAACUGUAACUUCUGCUUCUCAGGGCUGUGGUCCCGCUUUGAACAUCUGGACUGGUGGCCGCAGCUGCAUUCCCUGGGAGGAGAAGCCCACAUGGAGAACCAGGGGCAAAGCUGAAGGUGGGAUUGAAAUCUUCUUCACUCCGUAUGUGCUGGUCCAGCAUCGAGGGGACGACAUGGCGGCAGCUUGUCCCAACUCUGCUCACUUUAGAAGGGAGUUUGGGGGUCUCCCAGGUCCUCCUCAUUCAUUUUGUGGACCCAAAUCAUCACUUACACAGAGGUCAGCUUGCGGGCAGCCACCCUGAGAGCUUACGAGAAUAUUUAAGCUCUGGAUGUGGGCAUCUGAUUGAAGAAAUCACAUUACCACAACUUCAUGAGUUACUGUUCAUCAGCAGAGCCCCAGAAACUCACUGCUACCUCAUAACCCAAAGUAGGUGUCUGCUUCAGUCCUUAGAGCUGCAGCUACCUCAAAUAACAGUUGGAGGAGGCGAUAAGCCAUGCAAAAGAAAACCCUGUGAAUGUAAAGAGACUGAGUGGACUGAUACAAAUCCACCUCUGCCAGAUCUGUGUUGAGAGGACUUGGUCACAAGAGUAAUGCUGUUCCUGUGAAGAAGCAUUUCCAAGCUCCAGCCCUCAGUAUAGCAUGUGGAGUAGCUGAACAGGUAAUACCCAACAUUGUGCCUUGGGGCCCGCCGGGAUGGGAGAUGAAGCUGUUCGAACACUUGUCUGUGUGCAGGCACUCGAGUGAAUAUAUAAAGUGUGUGUGCCAGAGCUGAAGGGCUUACAGGACUCAGGUGUUUGCACCUGAUAAAAAGCCAGGACGAGUGUUGUGGGAGCGUGGGAGACUGAAGAGGAGAAGUCAAGACUCGAUCUCUUUCCGUGAAUGAUUCAUUGCCCUAAAAAACAGCAUCUGAACUGUAUUACUGUAUUUUUGAAUGAGGACCAUGUCCCCCCUUCUAAGAGAGGACCCCAAGAGCAAUUCCCCUGAACGUGGGAACAAUGGAGACAGUGGAGCCAAGUAAUUUUCCUAGGUCCUUCCAAACUUGUUCUCAAGCAGUUGCUAGAAAUGCGAGCUCAGUCAGUUAUCUCUCCAGAAAGAAUAAAAUACAAUAAAAUGGCUUAGCAGAGUUUUUAAACCCUGAUAUCCCUAUUGAUUUUCCAUGGAAAGACGACAGUGAUGAAUAGUAACAGUGCAAUGCCCUCAGGUUGGUUUUCUUGUGCUGAGACACAGAAUGUAUCUAAACAAGUCUAGUUUUACUAGAAAUUCUCCUCUGGAGCACAAGUCACCCCUAUCCAUCAUGGUCCCUCAGAUCAGCUCACUACCCCAUUACCCUCUCCAUCAUGGCUCUAAGUAUGGAGUUGAUGCAAAUCUGUUUAACAACCUGCGAUGUGACCCAGGAAACGUGGUGGAAAACCACGACCAAGCCAAGGGCUGGGUGAGUCUUGCAAGCUCUGCUUUUUGAAUGAGGUUCAGAUCCUCUCCUAAUUUCACACAGGUCUUUGCAAAACAUUCCUGGGACAGCCUGAUGGGGAGAAAUCAAGGGCAUUGGGUGGAAGAAGGGGUGGUGGGAAACACAAGAAAACUCCUGCCUGAGAGCUCCUGAACCACGACACGGUCUGAGCUUGUCCAGCAGAUCACCCAGGACUUCGUUCCACCCUGUCAUCCAGCAAAUGGAGGCCUCUUGGAACCAGUAGACCCCGAUGAUGAUUAGCAGAGCAGAUUGCUGACGUGAGGCUUGUUCCUGCAGUGUCUAAUGUCUGUAUGUGCAAUUAGAGCCAUGGACAAUUCUGGCCCCAAAUAGCUGCCUCCAAACCAAGGCUGGUACUACUUGGGAAGGAAAUAUCUGUACCUCUCUGUAGUUCCCCAGGGAUGGAGCUGUCUUUAUCUGUGAAAAAGGCUCCUAACAAGCCUUUGAAAGUCAAAGUCCUCUCCUGACUUGCUUCAUCCACUGGCAACAGAAGUCAUCCCUUCCAGGAUAGAAAGAAAAACAACCCCCCCUCCUUAUUUUCUUUCCCCCUCGCACAUUUUCAAUUAAAAUAGAUUUGUGCAAGCUAUACUGGAUGCGCCGCAAAUCUCUUUGCAUGGUUAAAGUUGAUUAAUUUGGGUUGGAAGUGAAAAUUAAAAAAUGGCAGCCUCUCUUGGGCCUUGCGGAUGAUGGAGCACAAACGGAGAUGCCUGAGCUGGUUCCGCCUUGAGGAGGACCGCCUCUUUCACCUUGGGUUAAACACUCAAGAGCAGAGCUGGGUUUUGGGGGGAGGGGGUUGGCCUGAAAAUAAUAUGUAUAUAAUCCUCAAGAUAAUCAAUUUCUUACAGAUGCUUUGUAAACUUUCGUGUUCAAGAGCGCAAGCCAUAGUACUUUCUAAAUCCCUAGGGGUUGUACUUGAUAUCCAUUUAUUAUUUCCUAAUGCUAUUCAAUCUUUUUUUCCCCCUGUUUUUUUGAAGCUUGCAGCAAUAAGCUUGAGACUUACGUCGGCAGUCGCCACCGCUUCUGCCAUUCUGCAGUGAACUUUGUGCGUGUUUUCAUAUUCCUUUUCUUACACUCCUGAUAAAAGCAUUAUCAGGGAAAUUCAAAAGCAAGCAGAAAACUGGCAUAGCUAAUUUAGGCUAAUUAGUAUGGCAGAAGCUGAGUCUUGUACUUCAGAGGUUCCCAUGCCCUCCCAUGUCUCCACCUGAUCGCCUUGUCCAGCAGCAAACCCAGGAGGCAGCUCCAAUUAUAUCAUAACCUCUUCAAACACCAAGCCACUCAAGCUAAUUUUAUCCUAUUAAACAGACUGAAGGAUUCAGAAGAAAGGUUCUCCCCCAAAAGCUUCAAUUACCAGUGUCCCUGAUUACCAUCUUUACAAUCCUAUAUGCUACAGUUAAAUACUUUUUUGCUUAGUGUUGCUUUCUUGAUUUAGAUGAAAAGCGAGUAUUAAGAGCAUGUCUUUUCAACUCAAGCAAGUGACAUUCAUAAAAAAAAAAAGGAACCUCUCUUGUUAUUAGCGUGUUUAA